GUGAUGUCUCAGUUGAUUGUCAGUGGU
rnacentral:piRNA from 1 species